AGCGAACGCUGGCGGCAGGCCUAACACAUGCAAGUCGAACGAACUCUUCGGAGUUAGUGGCGGACGGGUGAGUAACACGUGGGAACGUGCCUUUUGGUUCGGAAUAACUCAGGGAAACUUGUGCUAAUACCGAAUGUGCCCUUCGGGGGAAAGAUUUAUCGCCAUUAGAGCGGCCCGCGUCUGAUUAGCUAGUUGGUGAGGUAACGGCUCACCAAGGCGACGAUCAGUAGCUGGUCUGAGAGGAUGACCAGCCACACUGGGACUGAGACACGGCCCAGACUCCUACGGGAGGCAGCAGUGGGGAAUCUUGCGCAAUGGGCGAAAGCCUGACGCAGCCAUGCCGCGUGAAUGAUGAAGGUCUAGGAUUGUAAAAUUCUUUCACCGGGGACGAUAAUGACGGUACCCGGAGAAGAAGCCCCGGCUAACUUCGUG
rnacentral:rRNA from 1 species